UACGGAGGGAGCUAGCGUUAUUCGGAAUUACUGGGCGUAAAGCGCACGUAGGCGGCUUUGUAAGUAAGAGGUGAAAGCCCAGAGCUCAACUCUGGAAUUGCCUUUUAGACUGCAUCGCUUGAAUCAUGGAGAGGUCAGUGGAAUUCCGGAGUGUAGAGGUGAAAUUCGUAGAUAUUCGGAAGAACACCAGUGGCGAAGGACGGCUGGACCUGGAACAUGUA
rnacentral:rRNA from 1 species